rnacentral:rRNA from 1 species
CGCCGCGCGCGGCGGGCGGGGCGGGGGCACGGGGGGCCUACGGGAGGCAGCAGUGAGGAAUAUUGGUCAAUGGACGCAAGUCUGAACCAGCCACGUCGCGUGAAGGAAGACGGCCCUACGGGUUGUAAACUUCUUUUAUACGGGAAUAAAGUGCCCCACGCGUGGGGUUUUGCAAGUACCGUACGAAUAAGGAUCGGCUAACUCCGUGCCAGCAGCCGCGGUAAUACGGAGGAUCCGAGCGUUAUCCGGAUUUAUUGGGUUUAAAGGGUGCGCAGGCGGGAUGUUAAGUCGGCGGUGAAAUUUUGCAGCUCAACUGUAAAAGUGCCUUCGAUACUGGCUUUCUUGAGUGUGGAUGAAGUAGGCGGAAUUUGUGGUGUAGCGGUGAAAUGCUUAGAUAUCACGAGGAACUCCGAUUGCGCAGGCAGCUUACUAAACCACAACUGACGCUCAUGCACGAAGGCGUGGGGAUCAAACAGGAUUAGAUACCCUGGUAGUCCACGCAGUAAACGAUGAUUACUAGUUGUUUGCGAUACAAUGUAAGCGACUGAGCGAAAGCGUUAAGUAAUCCACCUGGGGAGUACGUUCGCAAGAAUGAAACUCAAAGGAAUUGACGGGGGCCCGCACAAGCGGAGGAACAUGUGGUUUAAUUCGAUGAUACGCGAGGAACCUUACCCGGGCUUGAAAUGCAUCCGACCGGCGCCGAGAAGCGCCUUCCCUUCGGGGCGGAUGUGUAGGUGCUGCAUGGUUGUCGUCAGCUCGUGCCGUGAGGUGUCGGCUUAAGUGCCAUAACGAGCGCAACCCUCAUCAUUAGUUACUAACAGGUCAUGCUGAGGACUCUAGUGAGACUGCCAUCGUAAGAUGCGAGGAAGGUGGGGAUGACGUCAAAUCAGCACGGCCCUUACGUCCGGGGCGACACACGUGUUACAAUGGGUGGUACAAAGGGCAGCUACCUGGCGACAGGAUGCUAAUCUCCAAAACCACUCUCAGUUCGGAUCGGAGUCUGCAACUCGACUCCGUGAAGCUGGAUUCGCUAGUAAUCGCGCAUCAGCCACGGCGCGGUGAAUACGUUCCCGGGCCUUGUACACACCGCAGAUCGGAAGAGCGUCGUGUAGGGAAAGAGUGUAGAUCUCGGUGGU